CCUCAGUCUCGCACCGCCAGUCACCGCAGCCUCGGUUGUUCGCCGACCCUUGGGGUAUAGCAGCCCCUACCUCUCACUCUCAUGAAUUCUUGUCCGCGGACCCAGGAUUGGUUAUCAGUGCACCUGUUUUCCGCUUUUUGUUCGUUCGCUUAAGUUCUCCAAUCAACCAGCGACUGGUGGUAGUUCACUUGUUUGAUAUACGUGUUACUAAGUACUCCAUUGAGCUAACUAGAUGUGUGACGCCGUGGUAUCAAUAUGAUGCUAAAAUCACAGCAACUCGAGGUUGGGGAUUUUCGAUGGAAUAGGGAUACGAAAUUUGAGAUGCAUCUUAUUUCUUUUUCCCUAGCAAUCUAUAUGGUCACUUUUUCAUUCGCUAGUGAAUCCUCGGUCGGCAAUGUUGUUAAAGUGACCCCUCAAAGGUGUCUAAUGCGCAGGAACUUUCUGCCGUGGCAUGCUCGGUUUGGUUAAUUUGAUCAUUCCAACAGACAUACAUACACUAAUGGUUUUUGUGCACACAUAUACGCUGUGGUGAACAUCUGUCAUGGAAGGGUCUGAAUCUAUUAGGAGUCACAACAAAAGAGAUGUUGAGGAUAAUGUUAAUGCCAGGUCCGGUUUGAAAGAGGAAGAAGAGCAAGAUAAUGUU
rnacentral:lncRNA from 1 species